rnacentral:ncRNA from 1 species
GGUGUCGCAAGACUUAAUAGGGAAGCCGGUAGGAGCCGCUGAUGCAUCAGUGGUUCCGGCAAAGCCGGCGCGGUCCCGCCACUGUGAGGGGAGUAGCUUUGCAUGAUGUCACUGGAGAAAAUCUCUGGGAAGGCGCAGAGCGGCGAUGAACCGAGCCAGGAGAACUGCCUGCUCA